GGGCACAUCACGUUAAAACAUCGAUUCCCGUACGAUCACCUAAGUUAAGCACCAUUGAGUCUGGUCAUUAAUAUGGAUGGGUGACCGCUUGGGAAUACUAGAUGCUGUAAG